GAGGUUAUAGCUCAAGUGGCAGAGCGCAUGCUUAGCAAACAAGAGGUCCUGGGUUCAAUCCCCAGCACCUCC
rnacentral:tRNA from 1 species